CUACGGGCGGAAGUUGCGUCACAGAAGCGCCAAAAAAGAACUUAGAAGACUGGAGUUAGGUUUCAGACCCUGUUGUGGCUGCCUGAAGUAGACCUAUUCGGCGACCCACUGCAGCCUCAGUGGAGAAGCCGAGGUCCCCGAGCAGCUUUGACGUACAAUCCUUGGCCCCUCCCGGGGACGUCAGAGAAAACCCCACAGUCUUUGCUACUACAAUCAACAUUGGAUCAAUUCAUACCAUAUAAAGGCUGGAAGUUUUAUUUUUCUGAAGUUUACAGUGACAGCUCUCCUUUUAUUGAGAAGAUUCAAACAUUUGAAAAUUUUUUCACAAAGCGUAUUGAUUUAUAUGAUAAGGAUGAAAUAGAAAGAAAGGGAAGUAUUUUGGUGGAUUUUAAAGAAUUGACAGAGGAUGAUGAAGUAGCUAAAUUGAUACCGAAUGUAGCAAAUGAAUUAAGGGAUACACCUGAGAAAACCCUGGCUUGCAUGGGUCUGGCAAUACAUCAGGUAUUAACUAAGGACCUUGAAAGGCAUGCAGCUGAGUUACAAGCCCAAGAAGGAUUGUCUAGAAAUGGGGAAACAAUGGUAAAUGUGCCACACAUUCAUGCAAGGGUAUACAACUAUGAACCCUUGACACACCUCAAGAAUGUUCGAGCAAACUACUAUGGAAAAUACAUUUCUCUUAGAGGGACGGUUGUUCGUGUCAGUAAUAUAAAGCCUCUUUGUACCAAGAUGGCUUUUCUUUGUGCUACAUGUGGAGAAAUACAGAGUUUUUCUCUUCCAGAUGGAAAAUAUAAUCUGCCCACAAAGUGUCCUAUUCCUGCCUGUCGAGGGAAGUCAUUUACUGCUCUCCGUAGCUCUCCUCUCACAGUUACGACGGACUGGCAGUCAAUCAAAAUCCAGGAGUUGAUGUCUGAUGAUCAGCGAGAAGCAGGUCGGAUUCCACGAACAAUAGAGUGUGAACUUGUUCAUGAUCUUGUGGAUAGCUGUGUCCCAGGAGACACAGUGACUAUUACUGGAGUUGUUAAAGUCUCAAAUGCUGAAGAAGGUUCUCGAAAUAAGAAUGACAAAUGCAUGUUCCUUUUGUACGUUGAAGCAAAUUCUGUUAGCAAUAGCAAAGGACAGAAUACAAAGACUUCUGAGGAUGGAUAUAAGCCUGGAACAUUAAUGGAAUUCUCACUUAAAGACCUUUAUGCCAUCCAGGAGAUUCAAUCUGAAGAAAACCUAUUUAAACUCAUUGUCAACUCGCUUUGUCCUGUCAUUUUUGGUCACGAAGUAAGUAUUUUACUUCAUCUUUACUCAAAAAUACAUAAAUUCAGCAAAAAUAAAAUAUAAAGGUUAAAAAUAGUCAUUCCUGGUGGCCCCAUUAUUUAUAUCUUUUUUUUUUUUUUUUUUUUUUUGUCUUUUUAGGGUUGCACCUACAGCAUAUGAAGUUCCCAGGCCAGGGAUUGAAUCAGAGCUGCAGCCUGUGGCACAGCUCACAGCAACACUGGCUCCUCCACCCACUGAGCAAGACUAGGGAUGGAACCUGUGUCCUCAUGGACACUAGUCAGGCUUGCCACCACUGAGCCAUAACAGGAACUCCCCGUUAUUUAUAUCUUAAUAUGAAUCAUUAUUCUCCAUAAAUGACUGGUAUGAGAGGCAAAUUACAGCUCCUUGUAAGGCAGAGCUGCUUACCAAUUAGAGUUAGUAGAAAUGGGCUUCUUUUAAAGUGACACUGGACACUAAAUGUUAAAGUAGGAACUAAUAAAUACUUCUCAGCUUUGUGGAAUGGGUUUGUAGGUCUUCACUUGGUGACUUUUAAGUUACCUGAUUUUUUUUUUUUUUUUCCUUUCUUUUUGCCUCUUCUAGGGCUGCACCCAAGGCACAUGGAGGUUCCCAGGCUAGGGGUCUAAUCAGAGCUGUUGCUGCCGGCCUACGCCAGAGCCAUAGCAACGCAGGAUCCAAGCCUCGUCUGCAACCUACAGCACAGCUCACAGCAACACCAGAUCCUUAACCCACUGAGCAAGGCCAGGGAUCGAACCCACAACCUCAUGGUUCCUAGUCGGAUUCAUUAACCACUGUGCCACAACGGGAACUCCUUUAUAUGCUUUCUAAUUUUUGCCUUUUAACCAUUUACAUUAAAGAAGUUUAUAUUUUUAGACUUAUUUUUCUUGGGGAAAAAAAAAGCAAAGUUCAAUCAUGCUUUAAAAAAAAAAUUCCCAAACGUUGAAAAUAUAGAAGGAGGAGCACUUCUUUUGCUUUACAGUCUUUACAUUUUUCUCAUUUGUUUUGUGUUUUUUCUCAUUCUUCUUUCACUUCUGAGCUUGUUAAAGCAGGUUUGGCAUUAGCACUCUUUGGAGGAAGCCAGAAAUACGCAGAUGACAAAAACAGAAUUCCGAUUCGAGGAGACCCACACAUCCUUGUUGUUGGAGACCCAGGCUUGGGAAAGAGUCAGAUGCUACAGGCAGCGUGCAGUGUUGCUCCACGUGGCGUGUAUGUUUGUGGUAAUACCACAACCACCUCUGGUUUGACUGUAACUCUUUCAAAAGAUAGUUCCUCUGGAGAUUUCGCUUUGGAAGCUGGUGCCCUGGUACUUGGCGAUCAAGGUAUCUGUGGAAUAGAUGAAUUUGAUAAGAUGGGGAAUCAACAUCAAGCUUUGUUAGAAGCCAUGGAACAGCAAAGCAUUAGUCUUGCUAAGGCUGGCAUGGUUUGUAGCCUCCCUGCAAGAACUUCCAUUAUUGCUGCUGCAAAUCCAGUUGGAGGACACUACAAUAAAGCCAAAACAGUUUCUGAGAAUUUAAAAAUGGGGAGUGCUCUGCUAUCCAGAUUUGAUUUGGUCUUUAUCCUGUUAGACACCCCAAAUGAGGAUCAUGAUCAUUUACUCUCUGAACAUGUGAUUGCAAUAAGGGCUGGAAAACAGAGAGCUGUUAGCAGUGCCACAGUAACUCGUAUGAAUAGUCAGGAUUCAAAUACUUCUAUACUGGAAGUGGUUUCUGAUAAACCACUAUCAGAAAGACUAAAGGUGGUUCCUGGAGAAGAAAUAGAUCCAAUUCCCCACCAACUAUUGAGAAAAUACAUUGGUUAUGCUCGGCAGUAUGUCUACCCAAGGCUAUCCACAGACGCUGCCCAGAUUCUUCAGGAUUUUUAUCUUGAGCUCCGGAAACAGAGCCAGCGGUUAAAUAGCUCACCAAUCACAACUAGGCAGCUGGAAUCUUUGAUUCGUCUAACAGAGGCACGAGCAGGUUGGAAUUAAGAGAGGAAGCAACCAAAGAAGAUGCUGAGGACAUAGUUGAAAUUAUGAAAUAUAGCAUGCUAGGAACUUACUCUGAUGAAUUUGGGAACCUGGAUUUUGAACGAUCUCAGCAUGGUUCUGGAAUGAGCAAUAGGUCAACAGCAAAAAGGUUUAUUUCUGCUCUCAACAACAUUGCUGAAAAAACUUACAAUAAUUUAUUUCAAUUUCAACAACUUCGGCAGAUUGCCAAAGAGCUAAACAUUCAGGUUGCUGAUUUUGAAAAUUUUAUUGGAUCGCUAAAUGACCAAGGUUAUCUCCUUAAAAAAGGCCCAAAGGUUUACCAGCUUCAAACUAUGUAAAAGGAUUACCAAGCCAGACCCUCCCAAGUUGCUUAAGAAGAAUAUGAAAAAUACAAACAAAAAAAACAAAACUGUUCUCUGAAAAAUGACAUCACAAAUGUAAUAUAAUAAGAAAAGAGUAUUUAAGUGAUAAAGUGUUAAUUUUUUUAUUUCUUCAAAAGGCUAAAAAUAAAUUGUUUAUAUUUCUUCUCUAAA